rnacentral:rRNA from 1 species
CGGAGGGUGCGAGCGUUAUCCGGAAUUACUGGGUUUAAAGGGUGCGUAGGCGGCUUUGUAAGUCAGGAGUGAAAGUUUGCGGCUCAACCGUAAAAUUGCUUCUGAUACUGCAUGGCUAGAAUUAGGAUGAGGUCAGCGGAAUGUGGCAUGUAGCGGUGAAAUGCAUAGAUAUGCCAUAGAACACCAAUUGCGAAGGCAGCUGACUAGACCUGGAUUGACGCUGAGGCACGAAAGCGUGGGGAGCGAACAGGAUUAGAUACCCUGGUGGUCCACGCCCUAAACGAUGCUUACUCGACGUAUGAAGCUAGACUUUGUGCGUCCAAGGGAAACCGUUAAGUAAGCCACCUGGGGAGUACGAUCGCAAGGUUG